rnacentral:pre_miRNA from 1 species
AAGCUUUGUUUUGCUGUUGUCGGGUGGAUCACGAUGCAAUUUUGAUUAGUUUAGCAGGAGAAAAAUUGCACGGUAUCCAUCUGUAAACCGCAGGACCUUCAUC